rnacentral:rRNA from 1 species
GACGAACCGUGCAAACGUUGUUCGGAAUCACUGGGCUUAAAGGGCGCGUAGGCGGGUGGUCAAGUCAGGGGUGAAAUCUUUCGGCUCAACCGGAAAAUUGCCUUUGAUACUGACCGUCUCGAGCGAGGUAGGGGCAUGUGGAACUUCCGGUGGAGCGGUGAAAUGCGUUGAUAUCGGAAGGAACGCCGGUGGCGAAAGCGACGUGCUGGACCUCUUCUGACGCUGAUGCGCGAAAGCUAGGGGAGCGAACGGG